UACGUAGGGUGCGAGCGUUAAUCGGAAUUACUGGGCGUAAAGCGUGCGCAGGCGGUUUUGUAAGCCAGAUGUGAAAUCCCCGGGCUUAACCUGGGAAUGGCAUUUGGGACUGCAAGGCUGGAGUGUGGCAGAGGAGACUGGAAUUCCUGGUGUAGCAGUGAAAUGCGUAGAUAUCUGGAGGAACACCGGUGGCGAAGGCGGCAUCCUGGACCAUGACUGACGCUGAGGAGCGAAAGCCAGGGGAGCAAACGGG
rnacentral:rRNA from 1 species